rnacentral:rRNA from 1 species
UGGGGAAUUUUGGACAAUGGGCGCAAGCCUGAUCCAGCCAUGCCGCGUGCGGGAAGAAGGCCUUCGGGUUGUAAACCGCUUUUGUCAGGGAAGAAAUCUUCUGGGUUAAUACCUCGGGAGGAUGACGGUACCUGAAGAAUAAGCACCGGCUAACUACGUGCCAGCAGCCGCGGUAAUACGUAGGGUGCAAGCGUUAAUCGGAAUUACUGGGCGUAAAGCGUGCGCAGGCGGUUAUGCAAGACAGAUGUGAAAUCCCCGGGCUCAACCUGGGAACUGCAUUUGUGACUGCAUGGCUAGAGUGCGGCAGAGGGGGAUGGAAUUCCGCGUGUAGCAGUGAGAUGCGUAGAUAUGCGGAGGAACACCGAUGGCGAAGGCAAUCCCCUGGGCUUGCACUGACGCUCAUGCACGAAAGCGUGGGGAGCAAACAGGAUUAGAUACCCUGGUAGUCCACGCCCUAAACGAUGUCAACUGGUUGUUGGGAAGGUUCCUUCUCAGUAACGUAGCUAACGCGUGAAGUUGACCGCCUGGGGAGUACGGCCGCAAGGUUG